GGGAGAGAGAGCCCGGCCGCCGCGAUGGUCGCACCGGCGACGGUACGACCACCUCACGUGAUCCGUCCCCUCGGGAUGCAUCACGCUCUAACGUUGCCCGUCCCUCCGGGACGCGCAACGCUCAUAACGUGAUCCGUCCCUUCGGGACGCAUCACGCUCGCGAGGAAAGUCCCCCCACCUGUUCGGGCAGGUGACCGGACGCAAGUCCGGAGCGGGAGACCGCUGGCUCUGGAACAGAAACGACACGUCUCGGCCCGACCGAUGACGCGUGCGAACCCGACCGAGAGGAAGGGGAGUUGACCCGCAGAGGGUUGCGCGGUCCUCCGGACCGCGAAACGUGAGGCGGCGCGAGCCGCCGAACCGGCGAGCGGCAGCCGCCGCGAGCCGCGUGCGGUCGUCAAACCGUGGUUCGAAUCCACGGGUCACGAGCGCGGUUCGGAGCGCCCUCGGCGCGAGAACUGCGAACGUCGUGAUCGACCGCACACGGACGGCCGAGGAACGAUGGAACGGCGAACCCUCACCGGUGCAAGUCCGCGCCGUGGUAGCCCGAACACCCCGCGGCUUCGCCGCGGACGGCGCGGACGCUCAGCCGAAUGCCGGGCCGAACAGAAGGGGGCUUACUCCUCUCACCC
rnacentral:RNase_P_RNA from 1 species